GAUGAACGCUGGCGGCGUGCCUAAUACAUGCAAGUCGAGCGACCAGACGAGGAGCUUGCUCCUCUGACGUUAGCGGCGGACGGGUGAGUAACACGUGGAUAACCUACCUAUAAGACUGGGAUAACUUCGGGAAACCGGAGCUAAUACCGGAUAAUAUAUUGAGCCGCAUGGUUCAAUAGUGAAAGACGGUUUUGCUGUCACUUAUAGAUGGAUCCGCGCCGCAUUAGCUAGUUGGUAAGGUAACGGCUUACCAAGGCAACGAUGCGUAGCCGACCUGAGAGGGUGAUCGGCCACACUGGAACUGAGACACGGUCCAGACUCCUACGGGAGGCAGCAGUAGGGAAUCUUCCGCAAUGGGCGAAAGCCUGACGGAGCAACGCCGCGUGAGUGAUGAAGGUCUUCGGAUCGUAAAACUCUGUUAUUAGGGAAGAACAAAUGUGUAAGUAACUAUGCACGUCUUGACGGUACCUAAUCAGAAAGCCACGGCUAACUACGUG
rnacentral:rRNA from 1 species